GGUUUCACCAAACCCUUCCCUUGGGGAGGCCGCGCCCUAUGCACGUGGCCCCACACUUCCGCUUAAAGAGAGCAGAGGGGCUCCGCGCCGGGGGGAUAAGCGGGACCCUUACAGCUUUGUAAUUGGAAGACCACCCUAAUCUGUUCUGAACUUGCAUGAAAAUGGAAGAAACACCUGAUAUUACGCCUCUCCACGCUUCAGUUUCUUCAGCAGUACUCCAGAGACGAUGAGAGUGAGCUGUAUACUUCUGUUUGCUUACGAUUUUUCAAAUACCCAAGAGCUGUUUAUCUGAAAAUGAAAUGUGAAAAAGUAAAGCACCCUAGAAAUGAUUUGUAAGUGGAAAAAACUGAAAUCUCUACAGCCAGUGUAAGCCUGCCAACCUUUGCCUCCAUUGAGUGCCCAGGAGAAUCAAAUGGAUCUGAUCCAGGCUUACAGUCAUAUCUUGAUUCAUCAUCUCCUCUCUUUCAAGAAAUAGUUUCCUACUACUAUUUAAGCAAAUCUUUGCAGAUUCGUGCUGGGUUAUCUCGUGUGCCAAGAGGAUUCUUGAUGCUGUGCAGUAAAUUGCUAAGGCCACCCAAAGCAGGCUGUUGGCUAGGGGAGACCAGCAGGAAGUCUUUGCUAAUAAGCUAGUCUACACAUAUUUGCUUGGCCAAAGAGGAAACGGAUGGCUAAGGUCCUGGCAACCCGGAAAGUCCUGGUUGACCUUCAUGGCCCUAACAGAGGACAAGUAAACAGGAGAAGAAAAGGCAAAGAUCUUUUCAGAAACUACAAAGUAGAAAAUUUGACUUCAGAUAAUAAUAAGUGCAAAUAAAAACACCACAGUAUGCUAUGGAGCUCUGGGCACGUCAGAAGAAAGAAAACCAGCAUAAAAAGACGUAAAAAAAUAUUACCUUCUUCCCUGGAUGACCUCUUUGUCCUGGCAGUCCCACAGUUCCUUCAGGUCCCUGAAUAUCAAGUAUGAAAAAGGAAAUACAUUGUUAAAGAUAGGACUAGAAAGAAUGUUUAAAUAGUUAUAUCACAUAAUCACUGAAUUGAACACUAAGUAAAAACAAGGGUUACUUCUUAACAAUAUUAUGUUUGUAUAAUUAUUUAAAAAGAGGUCAUGAUGAUUUAGAAGCCCAGCUGUUACUAAUGAGUAAAGUUCACAUAAACAAACUGGCCAAGAUAGACCAAAUUAAACUGUUCUUAACUACAGAGGGAAAACAACUUGGUUUCAGUACACCCAUUGAAUUAGCGAGAAUGUAAUUAAAGUUAACCCAAAUGCAUCCAUUUCAGCAGUUCUAUGAGCUAGUAUGGGUUCAACAUCUUGUUGAAUGUAUAGUACUAUAACAUAUAUCUAAUAUACUGUCAAGGAGAAUCUUAAAAUCUCAAUGAAGUGUAAGAUUAAGCAAAUAUUAUUUGAUCUGUGGAAAAAGGAGAGAGGGGAAAUACAUGGAGAGAAAAGAGAUAGUCAUAUCAAACUGUUUAAAACAAUAUUUUCACUUCAAUAUGUAUUUUGUUUAGACAAAAGUAGACUAAAAGUUUUCAAUAAACACUUUAUUAAAGUAAGAAGUGGUUAAAAUAUUUUAAAUGUCAUGUGAAUUUGCAGGUCAACAAUGGUUAGGCUUAAAUGAGAUCCAUAGUAAGCCAGACUGCAAGUUCUAAAAUAGCUAAUAAUUAAUCAUAGCAUUCCUUGCAUUAGUUGGAAAUGAAAAUGGAAAUUUCAAAUUUGUGUCCCAAAGCUUGGCAAACUGCAAAAAUGAUGCAGACAAGAAAUAAAUUGUGGUUUACCACUGUGCUACGGAGGCUCUUGAUAAAUAUUUGUUGAACGAAUAAACAGAUACCUAAGGAAAUGAGUCAUGCCCUGUGCUCCUGAGCAAAUGUUCUUCUAGCCUCAGAAAGUCCGCUCAAUUUAGAGGCCAAAGUGGUUAAGUUCUACUGCUGUAGUUCUAGCUGAAUCCAGAGGUUGAAAUGAUAGUUGCACUAACAUGAGACUUCUUUGUGGUUAACGUGGACUUUUUAAGAGAGGCUGAUUAACAUUCAUAGAUGUUAACGAUAUGAGCAUUUAAGUCAGACAGCUGUAGUUUCAUGUUCUGGCUCUGUCACCUAAUGGCUAUAUGACCAUAAGUAGACUAUUUGACUUCUAAAGUCCUCAGUUUCCUGUUAUAUAGCAGGGAUAUAUUAAUACUUCUUCAAAGGGUUACUAAGAUUGAAUGAGAUAAUGCAUUCAAAGCUUAGAAAGGAAUAGACUUAUACUGAAGAGCUCAAUAAAUGUCAAUUCUCACUAAUUUCUGUUGCCUUUUCAAAGUGCGUUAUGUAAUAUUUAAAUAUAUAUAAAUAUAUAUAGAAGAUAUUAAAACGUUUAAUGAGCACCCAUGUACCUACCACCCACUUUAAGAAACAGAAGCUACA